UACGAAGGGGGCUAGCGUUGUUCGGAAUUACUGGGCGUAAAGCGCACGUAGGCGGACUAUUAAGUCAGGGGUGAAAUCCCGGGGCUCAACCCCGGAACUGCCUUUGAUACUGGUAGUCUCGAGUCCGGAAGAGGUGAGUGGAAUUCCGAGUGUAGAGGUGAAAAUUCGUAGAUAUUCGGAGGAACACCAGUGGCGAAGGCGGCUCACUGGUCCGGUACUGACGCUGAGGUGCGAAAGCGUGGGGAGCGAACAGG
rnacentral:rRNA from 1 species